rnacentral:rRNA from 1 species
CUUAGCGGCGGAUGGGUGAGUAACACGUGGGCAAUCUGCCCUAAAGACUGGGAUACCACUUGGAAACAGGUGCUAAUACCGGAUAACAACAUGAAUCGCAUGAUUCAAGUUUGAAAGGCGGCGCAAGCUGUCACUUUAGGAUGAGCCCGCGGCGCAUUAGCUAGUUGGUGGGGUAAAGGCCUACCAAGGCAAUGAUGCGUAGCCGAGUUGAGAGACUGAUCGGGAGACACGGCCCAAACUCCUACGGGAGGCAGCAGUAG